rnacentral:rRNA from 1 species
AUGUAAUAAUUAAUAAAUUAUAAUUAAUAAAAAAAUUUUUAAUUUUAAAUAAAUUAUUUUAAUGGGGGUUAAAGUAAAUUUAUUGAAAAAAUUAAUUAAUUUAUAGUAAAUUAGUAUUGUGAAAGAAUUUUGAAAUAAAUGAAAAAAAAAAUUGAUUAAAAGUAAAUUUAAUUUAUUGUAUCUUGUGUAUCAGAGUUUAUUAAUUAAAAAUUAUAGAUAAUUAAAAUUCUCGAAUUUAAAAGAGAUAAUUAAUUAUAAAAGUUAUUGUUGCAUAAAUAUUUUAAAUAAUUAAUUGGAAAUGAAAUGUUAUUCGUUUUUAAAUAUAUCUAGUUUUUUUAGAAAAAAAUUUAAUUUUAUAUUAUUAAAAUAAAAAAUUAAUUAAUUAAUUUUUUAUUUUAAUAAUAUUAUAUUUUAAGGGAUAAGCUUUAAUUUAAAUUUAUAUAAAUUUAUUUUAAUUUAAUUAAAAUUUUUAUAAUUUAUAUUGUUAAUAAAUUUUAAUUUAUUAUAAAUAAUUUUAUUUAAAAUAAAAUUUAAUUUAAUUUUAUAUAUUUAUAAAAAAAAAUUUUUGAAUUUUAUAAAAUUUGAUAUAAUGAUAAAAUUAGUAUAUAAUAAAUUAUAUUAGGAUUAAAAAAUUAUUUAAGUUAAUUAAAAGGAAUUCGGCAAAUAUAUAUAUUCACUUGUUUAUCAAAAACAUGUCUUUUUGAAAUUAAUAUAAAGUUUAAUCUGCCCACUGAUUUAUAUUAAAGGGCUGCAGUAUUUUGACUGUACAAAGGUAGCAUAAUCAUUAGUCAUUUAAUUGAUGACUUGUAUGAAAGAUUGGAUGAAAUAUAUACUGUCUCUUAAUUAUUUAUAGAAUUUAAUUUUUUAAUUAAAAAGUUAAAAUGUAUUAAAAAGACGAGAAGACCCUAUAGAGUUUUAUAUUUAAAUUAAUUAAGAUUAUUUAUAAAUUUAUUAAUUAAAAUUGUUUUAAAUAUUUUGUUGGGGUGACAAAAAAAUAUAAAUAACUUUUUUUAAAAUUUAACAUAUAUAAGUGAUUAAAUGAUCCAAUAUUAUUGAUUAUAAGAAAAAAUUACCUUAGGGAUAACAGCGUAAUUUUUUUUUUUAGUUCAAAUAAAAAAAAAGAGUUUGCGACCUCGAUGUUGGAUUAAGAUAAAAUUUAAAUGCAGAAGUUAAAAUUUUUGAUCUGUUCGAUCAUUAAAAUCUUACAUGAUCUGAGUUCAAACCGGUGUAAGCCAGGUUGGUUUCUAUCUUUUAAUAAAUAAAAUAUUUUAGUACGAAAGGAUUAAAUAUUUAAAUUAAAUUUAUUUAAAUUGAAUAUUAUUAAUAAAUUUUAAAUAUAUUUGUUUAUAUUAAUAUAUAUAUAUGUAUAUAUAUAUAUAUAUAA